rnacentral:rRNA from 1 species
GCUUGCUGAACACACGACCGGCGCACGGGUGAGUAACGCGUNUGCAAUUUACCUCUAACUGGAAGAUAGCCCGAAGAAAUGCGGAUUAAUACUCCAUAAUAUUAGGAAUNCGCAUGAUUUCCUAAUUAAAGCUCCGGCGGUUAGAGAUGAGCAUGCGUGUCAUUAGCUAGUUGGUAAGGUGACGGCUUACCAAGGCGACGAUGACUAGGGGGUCUGAGAGGAUGGUCCCCCACACUGGUACUGAGACACGGACCAGACUCCUACGGGGGGCAGCAGUGAGGAAUAUUGGGCAAUGGGCGCAAGCCUGACCCAGCCAUGCCGCGUGCAGGAUGACUGCCCUAUGGGUUGUAAACUGCUUUUAUACGGGAAGAAUGGUUCCUACGUGUAGGGAUUUGACGGUACCGUAAGAAUAAGCAUCGGCUAACUCCGUGCCAGCAGCCGCGGUAAUACGGAGGAUGCAAGCGUUAUCCGGAUUCAUUGGGUUUAAAGGGUGCGCAGGCGGAAUAUUAAGUCAGUGGUGAAAUCCUGCAGCUUAACUGUAGAACUGCCAUUGAUACUGAUAUUCUUGAAUAUAGUUGAGGUGGGCGGAAUGUGUAAUGUAGCCGGUGAAAUGCUUAGAUAUUACACAGAACACCGAUUGCGAAGGCAGCUCACUAAACUAAUAUUGACGCUGAGGCACGACAGCGUGGGGAGCGAACAGGAUUAGAUACCCUGGUAGUCCACGCUGUAAACGA